rnacentral:rRNA from 1 species
CCCUUAGAUGUUCUGGGCCGCACGCGCGCUACACUGAUGCAUUCAACGAGUUUCUUCCUGGUCCGAGAGGAAUGGGUAACCUUUUGAAAGUGCAUCGUGAUAGGGAUAGACUAUUGCAAUUAUUGGUCUUCAACGAGGAAUUCCUAGUAGACGUAGUUCAUCAGACUGCAUCGAUUACGUCCCUGCCCUUUGUACACACCGCCCGUCGCUCCUACCGAUUGAAUGCUCAGGUGAGCCAUUCGGACUGUGAUCAUGUCGGUUUCCGAUUUUGAUUAUGGAAAGUCUUGCGAACCUUNUNAUUUAGNGGAAGGAGAANUCGUANCA